AUUGAACGCUGGCGGCAUGCUUUACACAUGCAAGUCGAACGGUAACAGGGACUUCGGUCUGCUGACGAGUGGCGAACGGGUGAGUAAUGCAUCGGAACGUACCGAGUAAUGGGGGAUAACGCAUCGAAAGGUGUGCUAAUACCGCAUACGCCCUGAGGGGGAAAGCGGGGGAUCGAAAGACCUCGCGUUAUUGGAGCGGCCGAUAUCGGAUUAGCUAGUUGGUGAGGUAAAGGCUCACCAAGGCGACGAUCCGUAGCGGGUCUGAGAGGACGACCCGCCACACUGGAACUGAGACACGGUCCAGACUCCUACGGGAGGCAGCAGUGGGGAAUUUUGGACAAUGGGGGCAACCCUGAUCCAGCCAUUCCGCGUGAGUGAAGAAGGCCUUCGGGUUGUAAAGCUCUUUCGGCAGGAACGAAACGGCGGGCUCUAACAUAGCCUGUCACUGACGGUACCUGAAGAAGAAGCACCGGCUAACUACGUG
rnacentral:rRNA from 1 species